rnacentral:rRNA from 1 species
UAGCCGGUUUAGUAAGUUCCUGGUAAAAUCGGGUAGCUUAACUAUCUGUAUGCUAGGAAUACUGCUAUACUAGAGGGCGGGAGAGGUCUGAGGUACUACGGGGGUAGGGGUGAAAUCUUAUAAUCCUUGUAGGACCACCAGUGGCGAAGGCGUCAGACUGGAACGCGCCUGACGGUGAGGGACGAAAGCCAGGGGAGCGAACCGGAUUAGAUACCCGGGUAGUCCUGGCCGUAAACGAUGCAUACUAGGUGAUGGCACGGCCAUGAGCCAUGUCAGUGCCGUAGGGAAACCGUUAAGUGUGCCGCCUGGGAAGUACGGUCGCAAGGCUAAAACUUAAAGGAAUUGGCGGGGGAGCACCACAAGGGGUGAAGCCUGCGGUUCAAUUGGACUCAACGCCGGGAAACUUACCAGGGGAGACAGUAGGAUGAUGGUCAGGUUGACGACCUUACCUAACGAGCUGAGAGGAGGUGCAUGGCCGUCGCCAGUUCGUGCUGUGAGGUAUCCUGUUAAGUCAGGCAACGAACGAGAUCCGCACCUUUAUUUGCCACCAAGAAGUUACGACUUCGUUGGGAACACUAAAGGGACCGCCGUUCGAUAAGACGAAGGAAGGAGCGGGCAAAGGCAGGUCUGU